GGGGGAUAGCUCAGUGGUAGAGUAUUCGACUGCAGAUUGAGAACUCCCCGGUUCAAACCUGGAUGCCACCU